rnacentral:tRNA from 1 species
CGGGAAUUAGUUUAAUUUUUUUUAAAAACUCUAGUUUUGGGUAUUAGUAAUCUGCUGUGCAGAUUCUCGA